rnacentral:rRNA from 1 species
UGGGGAAUAUUGGACAAUGGGCGAAAGCCUGAUCCAGCAAUGCCGCGUGAGUGAUGAAGGCCUUAGGGUUGUAAAGCUCUUUUACCCGGGAAGAUAAUGACUGUACCGGGAGAAUAAGCCCCGGCUAACUCCGUGCCAGCAGCCGCGGUAAUACGGAGGGGGCUAGCGUUGUUCGGAAUUACUGGGCGUAAAGCGCACGUAGGCGGCUUUGUAAGUUAGAGGUGAAAGCCCGGGGCUCAACCCCGGAACUGCCUUUAAGACUGCAUCGCUUGAACGUCGGAGAGGUGAGUGGAAUUCCGAGUGUAGAGGUGAAAUUCGUAGAUAUUCGGAAGAACACCAGUGGCGAAGGCGGCUCACUGGACGACUGUUGACGCUGAGGUGCGA